rnacentral:rRNA from 1 species
GACGAACGCUGGCGGCGUGCUUAACACAUGCAAGUCGAACGGAAAGGCCCUGCUUUUGUGGGGUGCUCGAGUGGCGAACGGGUGAGUAACACGUGAGUAACCUGCCCUUGACUUUGGGAUAACUUCAGGAAACUGGGGCUAAUACCGGAUAGGAGCUCCUGCUGCAUGGUGGGGGUUGGAAAGUUUCGGCGGUUGGGGAUGGACUCGCGGCUUAUCAGCUUGUUGGUGGGGUAGUGGCUUACCAAGGCUUUGACGGGUAGCCGGCCUGAGAGGGUGACCGGCCACAUUGGGACUGAGAUACGGCCCAGACUCCUACGGGAGGCAGCAGUGGGGAAUAUUGCACAAUGGGCGGAAGCCUGAUGCAGCGACGCCGCGUGCGGGAUGACGGCCUUCGGGUUGUAAACCGCUUUCGCCUGUGACGAAGCCUGAGUGACGGUAAUGGGUAAAGAAGCACCGGCUAACUACGUG